rnacentral:sRNA from 1 species
UUCCUUCCUUCCUUCCUUCCUUCCUUUCUUUCUUUCUCUCUUUCUUUCUCUCUCUCUUUCUUUGUUCAUUAUUUGAUCCUCCUUUGCAACUGCUUUACUUUUGUAAUUUACCAGAAAACUGGCUAAAGAAAAAUUCAAAUGCUCAUUGAUACCUUUCUUAUUCCAGGUUCCAGAUUAGAGAAAAGCAUACGAUCAUCAGAACACUGUGUUUUUCUCAGUAUAGAAUUACUGAUUGGUUUACAGGAAAAUAGAGACAAACGAGACAGCAGUAUGCAUCCAGAUGGACUUGGAAGUCAACGUGCUGGAUUCCCAGUCAUGUCUAGAGAUAUUUGUCAGAGAACAUGUUUGUAUGCGCACGUUUAUGCUUUAAAACUAUUUUUAAGGAGCUUGUUUAUUCCUUCAGGGAUUUCAUGUCAGUCUUAAAUAAAAAUCAAAUAACUA